UGGAACUUAUGAAGAAGUAGUUUUAUCAGGUAAAGCGAAUGAUUAGAGGCUUUGGGGAAGAAACUUCCUCGACCUAUUCUCAAACUUUAAAUAGGUAAGAUUUGAAGGAUACUUAAGUGAUCUUUCAAUCUCUUGAAUAUAAAGUUCUUAGUGGGCCAUUUUUGGUAAGCAGGACUGGCGAUGUGGGAUGAACCAAACGUAAAAGUUAAAGUGCCUAAAUUUUUAAUGCUCAUUCUAGAUACCAUAAAAGGUGUGGCUUGAUCUAGACAGAAGGACGGUGGUCAUGGAAGUCGAAAUCCGCUAAGAAGUGUGUAAAAACUUACCUUUCGAAUUAAGUUGCCCUGAAAAAUGGAUGGCGCUUAAGCAUUUAAAAAAUAUUUUAUAUAUCUUUACUUAGACUUUACUAUUAAAAUUUAACUUAGAUUUUAAUAUGUAGGAGG
rnacentral:rRNA from 1 species